UACGGGGGGGGCAAGCGUUGUUCGGAAUUACUGGGCGUAAAGGGCGCGUAGGCGGUUUGCUAAGUUGGAUGUGAAAACUCUGGGCUUAACCCAGAGCCUGCAUCCAAAACUGGCAAACUUGAGUACUGGAGGGGAAAGCGGAAUUCCUGGUGUAGCGGUGAAAUGCGUAGAUAUCAGGAGGAACACCGGUGGCGAAGGCGGCUUUCUGGACAGUAACUGACGCUGAGGCGCGAAAGCUAGGGGAGCAAACGGG
rnacentral:rRNA from 1 species